UUUAGCUGAAGAUGGUAUUUAAGGUGGUGGCUUCUGCCAUUUUGGUGAGUUACUCAGUUUUCCUGGGUCUUUACCGUGUAUACAGGAGGUAUACAUGUUAUAAAUCUUCUGUUAGUUUUUCUCCUGUUAGUCUGCCUCAUGUCAAUUUAAUUAUACAACCACAGCCAGAAGAACUUAGAAGGGUAGAGGAGAAAUUUUUCCUCCCUGACAGUUGGUGAGCCAGCCAGGAGACUUCGCUGGCGGGACACUGCUCUCUCUGGGACUGCUGUGGCUGAGAGAUCCUGGACGUGUGACAAGAGCCAGCAGAAGGGGCAGAGGCGGGAGCUGCAGCACCUUCAAAAACCUCCACUAACAGCCUGAUCUCCGAGGUGCUCUGAGCCCCGUACUUCAGAGACCCAGAGAGCAGAAAAGAAGUUAGACUUCCCACCUCAACAGAGAAUCCAGAGAUUCUCUGGCAUGCCAACAACAGGAAGCAGUUAGAGAUACCACCCUGGACAUGGAUGCUGGCAUUCUGAUAACAGAGAAUCUGAUUGCAUUCAAACUACCCAGCUGGAGAAGUCAGCUACCUUUGGAAGAGUUGAUAUCAAAGAAGGAUCUGUGAAGAGCUCUCGUACCCUGUGCAGGGGGUUGAAGGUGGCCCGAGGUGGCCAUCAUCACCUCUUCACAACUCAGGAGGCCAGAGCGGGCAUGCCGCCAUCUCCUGCAGGUACUGGAGCAUUUGUGAACUUACCACUCCAGAAGAUGAGAGAACAGAUUUGAGCAGGUUCACGCUAAUUUUCAAAAACUUUCGUGCUACUUUGACUCAUUGUUCCCUCAAUAGUCAUAUCAAUUAAUACACAUCCAAUUAGAUUUUAGAACUUUAAUUAGUAUUAAAACCAUUUAAUUUAAUCUACUUUACAGGUCCACACAUUGCAGAAUUCUAUAUAAGUCAAUGAUGAUAACUACCUCUUUUACAGAUCUUUGUCUUAAAAAAUAAUCAUGGCGUGCUCUUCUCUAGCACUUGUAAUAGCAGGUGCUGUUCCGGAUACUCUAAGCCUAUUAAUUCACUUGAUCCUCCGACCCACCCGAGGAAGUAAGUGCCAUUCACAUCUUACAGAUGAGGAAACUAAGCAACAUGGAGCUAAGUAUCUUGCCCACGCCCCACAACUGUGAGUAGUAGGACCAGGAUGCAGACCUGGCUGUGUGGGCUCAGACUCUGGACUUUUGGAUGUUAUGCUGUCUAACCUAAGUUCUCAGAGCUAUACGUUCUUCAAGUGAAUUAUGUCUACAAAAUGUAAUCCGUUAUUCCUCAGAUAUGUAACUGUGCUUAAAGUAAGGCACUGCUACACAAGAGGUAGCCAAGUCAGUCACCUGAUGAUAAAACACGUAAGCAUAGACCCAUGGAAACAUAUCCAAGAGCACCAACUGGUAAACAAGAGUUAAGUAAGCCAAGUGUGGAGAAAGAAAUUCCAUAUGAGUUUAGAAGAGAAACUCCUAAGUCAAGGUUAUUAGCAAAUGGUUCAGAAUGAGAGUGGGGUUUGAGGUGUCAUUGAAAAAAGAGGAAUAGGAUUUGAGAAAGGAAUAGGAUUGAGAAUGAAGGUCAGCUUGAGCAAAGAGCAGGAAGGAGGAAAGCAAAGGAUUGUUAACAGAACAGCAAAUACACCAACCGCUGGAGAAGGGGAACCACCAGCACCAACUGGUGGUCUAAGGAUUCAUUCAUUCUUGUAUGUAAUGUUCUUUGGACAUCAUGAAAAAAUAAGUAUUUAAAUUAAGCCUA